CUACAUACAACCGCUCAAUCAUAGGUAUUAAGUACGAACGUCACCUAUGAAUGGCGUGACUUAAAAAAU
rnacentral:sRNA from 1 species